GGUUUGAGCGUGCCCCCCUCCCCCGGGAAGGGCGGCGGGAGGGUGUUUCCCCCUUCUCUGCUGCCGGCUCCGCACAUCCCCCCGGGGAUCACCCGGGGGAGGAGGCGGGGAGCGGGGGGCGGCACGAUCGCGGUGGGUGCGGACCCAGGCGGACCCAGGUGAAAGCGGCCGAGGCGGCCCUCGCCUGCACAGCGAGGUGAAAAGCCCCAUCGGCCGCGGCAAAAAAAGAGAAAAAAAAAUUUUUAAAAUAACGUGGUUGAUUUUGCAGCCGCUCUCUUGGGCGGGGCGGGGGCGGGGGGGGCGCUGAGAGGGCAAAUCCAAACCCUACAUGAUAGAGCAACAGGCGGGACCCCGGCCGCCGCCCUCUCCCGCCCAGCCCCGGCCUGGGGGCUCCAGCGCCGGCACUGACCUUGCCCCGGCCCCCCCCCCCACACCCCCUCCGCGCCGGGGGGACUCGCCCUGCUCCCUUCCCACGUCCCUCCGCCCGGCGGCGGCUGCAGAAGGGGAGGUUUCGCUUGUGCCGGCCGCGGGGAUAGGCCGGCUCGGGGAGGCGCCGCUGUUUAUUUUCUAUCGUGAUCACUUUGUUCGUCCUGGGGGGAAAAAAAACCCCACUUUUUUCUUUUAAAUUUUCGCGAAGGUUUUCCACGUUUACCGGCCUGAAUUGCACACACACACUCCCCCCCCAAUGGGGCGGCCUGGAGUCAAACUGGGGGAGGGGGGUGGCGGGAUACCGGAGCGCACUGGAGGAGGGCGGAGGGCAGGGUGUUCAGCGAUCCUUUGCAGCCGGAGGAGGAAAAGUCCAUCUCAAACACUGGCCGUGGCCGUUCCCUCUCCUCGGCCUCGGGACGAGCCCGGGGUGCCAUCUGCCCGAGUCGGGGGGCCGAGAUUGAGGCAGGGCGGGUGCUGGUGGGGGGGUCGCUCCCCAUUCCCCGUCCCUCCCCAGCACAAACCCGUGUUUUCGGGGAGGUUUCAGAGCGAGGGCGAACCCAGGCACGGCCGGGAUAAACAACAGGAUCGCGUUGCAGCGGGGAGGGUGGAGGGGAGGACCCGGGCGAGCGCUGGGUGAGACUCGCACAGGGUUGUGUGUCGUGUGCCCCCCCCCUCCGCCCCCGUAUUUUUGCAUUUAUUUCUUGCAGUCCCUAGGGAUGAAAACGCUUCUCCGCAUCGGCCCGGGGAGCGAGAGGGCACAUCAUUCCCAACUAUCACGGAUGAGAAAUGAUAGUGUGGCACUAAGGGUGAAGAGAGCGAGCUGCAUUCCUUGGUUUCACCUGCGCUGGAGACACAGGAAGAGAUACCCAAAGGAAACUUGCUGUAUUUCUUGAAGGAGCCUUAUUUCCUCCUGUGCCAGGCUGAGGGAGGCUGAAACACACACUAAUGAAGAACGUAUUUCUUAUAUAUGGCAGUUUUCUUUAUUGAUUGCUUGAUGUGAAACAAUAUCAAUCUGGAUUUUUUUUUCCCACACAUUACAAAAAAAAAAAUUAAAUUGGCUCAGUCUGCAAUCCUUUAAGCACAGCCAUAUUAAUUAUCAGAAAAAGAAAAAAAAAAACCCAAACCUAAGAA